rnacentral:misc_RNA from 1 species
GAAAUAUUACAUUGACAUAGUCGAAACGAAGCCAUCCAAUGCAAUAAGCAUCAUCGAGACAGAUUGUGAGGUGGAUUUUGCACCUCCCCUGGAUUACAAGGAACCGGAAAAGGCUGUUGCACCAAUCAAGGGGAAGGAGCAAGUUGUAGAAGCUCCAGAUGCCGAAGCCGAAGCGAAAUUUAGCGCUUUCACAGGAACAGGAAGACGUUUG